GCCCGGCUAGCUCAAUCGGUAGAGCGUGAGACUCUUAGGCUUCGAGUUCCGCCUCGAACAUCAGACUAUCUCAAGGCUGUGGGUUCGACCCCCACGUCGGGCU